rnacentral:rRNA from 1 species
UACGAAGGGGGGCUAGCGUUGCUCGGAAUUACUGGGCGUAAAGGGCGCGUAGGCGGCACUGUUAGUCAGGCGUGAAAGUCCUGGGCUCAACCCGGGAACUGCGUCCGAUACUGGCAGGCUUGAAUCCGGGGAGAGGGAUGUGGAAUUCCAGGUGUAGCGGUGAAAUGCGUAGAUAUCUGGAGGAACACCGGUGGCGAAGGCGGCAUCCUGGACCGGUAUUGACGCUGAGGCGCGAAAGC